GCUGAAUAUACCGGUUCUCGUUAGAUCACCAGUUAAGCAUCAUUGGGCCGGUCAGUACUUGGGUGGGUGACCACCUGGGAACACUGCGUGCCGUU
rnacentral:rRNA from 1 species